GUUACAGUUCUGCAAAACUUGAGGUAAAAAACUUCACGUGUGCAAAAUAAGGAUUGUUUUUCCUCAGCAACUGGAAGCUUGUAUAUGAUGAGUGUUUUUGUCUGGCUUGAGGUAUAAAUUUCAAAUCCCAUCCUACGUGUCCAGCUGCAGUAUAAGGAAAUUGAUAGUGCUACCGUAUUAUAUAUACACACACAAAUUUUAGGGUAAGACUGUCACACAGGAAAUUGCAUUAGUUUCUAGUACAGAAUUUGUACAGACUUCACGUAUUUCUAUGGAAAUACCUGUGUGCUUGUGUGUGUAUGCACACAAACAUGCACCUAUGAAUGUAGAUUUCCUGCCUGUGGAUUUAUUUGUAUGUAUUAAGUACUCACUGAAAGCCUGGAGGGCAGGGUUUGGUAAGUUUAAGAAGCACUGUUUAAAAUGUGUGAUUUUUUUUUUUUUUUUUUUUUGCUUUUCUAAGUGACCCAGAAGUAGCAUCAGUUGUUUAUAUCUGGCUCAGCGUUUCCCUGCUGGCCCAGCAAUAUUUCCUUAUUGUCAAAGUCAGUCAGUAUAGUCAACUUGACAGAGAAUGAUAUAAAAUUUAUAAAGUAAACUUCAGAGGCUUACAAUUCUAAUCUUUGUGUGUGCUUAUCUAAUGAUACUAUGUAGAAAUGCUUCUUUGUUAGAGCUUAGACAGUUUGACUUCAAGAGUAACUAAAGAGGCAAUAUAAUCAAAAGUAGUUGUGGUUGGAAGCUUGAUUCUAUCUAAUUUUGGUAAUUCAGUUUGAGCAAGAUUACUUAAUUUUUAAGUAUAAACUGCUUUUUCUUGCUUGUAAUAAGAUUAGGUAUUAUUAAAUUAAUAUCUUAUUUCAAAAGAAUCUUAGACUCUACCUUUAAAACAGAUAUUUUAAAGCUUACAGCUUGGUAGGGUUUGUUAGUUGAUUAUUGCUUUUGUUGUGAGAUUGUACAAUUCACAACUUCAAGAAUAACAAAACAAGGGAAUAUUAAUUGUUCUAGAGUAAUAUGGUGUGAGAAUCAGAAUUACAUUUUAUGAAAGCCUAAAAGAUUGUUUCUCUCUUCUCUAAGCCUUUGAAGAGCUAUAGUAAGCUAAAUUUUUAAUUGCAGACUGCUUCAGUUUUCUUCCUGAAGAAAAAAAAGGCUGAAUUGUUUCUGUGUAGCUGAUAGAUGAGCAAGGAGUGAAAUAAUUAGUUUCUGAGAUGGAUUAAUCUCACCACAAGAUGAUUGCCAUGCAGAAACUGUAUGCCUGUGAUCUUGCAUGCAAGGUUCAGCUAUUCCUGCUUGGAAAAAAAACAAAAAAAGUGACUCAUUACCAGUCUUUCUCUUCUCAACAAGUAGGACUUGAUGAUCUUGGAGGUCUUUUCCAACCUAAGUGAUUCUAUGAUCGUGUAAGUAAGCAAUGAUCCUGGCAUAAAGUAAAGUGCAAAAGCCAGUGCUUUUGGAGCUUCCCUCACCAGGAUGCCUUAGCUUGGCAGACUUCUGUUCCUGUUUUACAGGCACAGGGAAGAAAAGCAGACUGGAGCCAGCAUAGGAAAUGCAGCUAUCACAGUAAUGCUGAUACAUGGGUCUGAUAUCGGUAGGGAAUUUGCAGCCACAAAUGGGGCUUGCCUGUGUUGAGCCCUGUAAGAGUACAGAGAAGUUCUUUGCCUUCUUGGUAAAAUACUUAAACAGACCUAACUAUUCACACAUCACUCUUGUUCAUUCUGCAUUCCCUUUACUUAGGGCCUCUUCAGCACUUUGACCCAUGUAGUAGAGGCUGGGGAAGAUGAAAACCAAAAGAAAAUGGCUCUUGAGGUAACCAGUUGAGCAUUCGGUUCCUUUUUAGCCUCAAUAUAGAGUUGUCUUCUGUCUUGCCAACCUGGAAAAACAGCGAUGUUUUGUAAAUAUGCCUUGUUUGUUUUCCCUGAAGCUAUGUUUUCUUAUUCAAGCAUUCUGCCAGAUCAAAAGAGUUUUUUUAGGUGCAAAUUUCCUAGCAGGAAAAUCUCUUAUCUGCCAGAACCUUGAAAUUCAGGAUGUUCAAACCCAAGCCAAACAAGCAACUCCCUCCCCUCAAGACUUGUAAGUUAAAUCAGUGCCACGACAGGCUUUGUGUCUGCACAAAUUUAGGGCCAGAGAUACCAAGGGAAAGAAGAAAAAUUCUUGCACUUAAGUGCCCCGUCACCCAGGAAGGUGCUCAACUUCUUAUUCUCUUUAGUCUGAAUAUUGUCCUUCCUUCUUGUGUAGUGUAUCUUUUGAAUUUUCUCUUUUCCUUUAUCUAAGAUAUUGGAAUAGAAACAAUCCUGUUGAGUGUAUGUUUCUGGGCCUGAGAAACAUUUCUUGGCAGUCUUCAGCCGUACUUGAUCUUGUAUUAAUCUGGGGACUGUAGCACAGGUUGAAGGGACACUUUACCCCAGCUGACCUCCUGCAGGAAGAGCAUUGAGGGUGCAGGUAUGUGUUGGCAAACUCCUAAUCUGCUACGGUGAGAACUGAGUUAAUGCACUAAAGUUUUUCUUCUGUAUCAUUCUGCAGGAGCUCUAGGAAUGUGUCACCUGAAAAAUAACUCGUUUACCUUUUGGUCUUGAGGUGAUCAUUGUUAGGAGUAUGAACCUUGCACACGAGAGGGUGAUACUUGAGCAAACAAAUUGUUGAGUAUUUGGCAAGAGACAUUAAAGCUAAUGAUUUGUUUUUUAAACUGAGGAAACCUAAUAUGAAGCACAUUUAUGAGGGUGCUAAGAAAAUGCCCUUAACUUAAACUUGAAAUAGGUACUUAAAUAUAUAAUAUUUAGGAAUCAGUUGGAAGAAGAUAGCUGUUACUAACAGUUAGUAAUCUACAUGUAUUUCUUCAAAUAUGCUUUUCAAAAAUGGUGCCAUUUUGUCUUUUAUGGCUAAUACCUGAGCUGUUACUAAGUUUUGGCUAUUAGCCUCAACAAAAUUCCUUCAAGAAUGAUAUUUUGGACUUAAAACAAAAAACAAAACAAAACAACAAAACAACCACUUUUUGUGUAAGAUUUUGCAGAGCAGUUUGGACUGAUUCUGGAAACUGCAGAAAGCAGGAGAGGUUUUUUUUUUUUUUUUUUUUAAGGAUUCAUUUCUUGUUAUAAAUUUGGAAGGCUGUCUAACACUUAUGAAUCCACAGGUAUUUCUCAUUGUAGAAAGUUUCUCUUGUAGUGUCAUCUUCCUGAGAUUGUUUUUUAUAAAGUAUAAUAUUUUUUGCUAGAUUUUUCUGUCAGGGAAGUCUUAAACACGUACAAUGGCCUGCUGUAGCAUAGUAUUUUCCGGGGAGAAUUUCAGCCCAACAACCUGUGUUAGAAAGCUGUACGUGAAGUUCAGUUGAUGUGUGAGCUAAUGGAAGAAAAUUGCAGAACUGUUCUAUGUUGUUGAGUCUUCAGCAAAAUACGCUUCAGCACAAAGUUUUUCAUAUUUUUGGGGCUGUAGUCUAGACUCUUGUUCCGCAAUUUACUUUCAAAUAGCUUUUUCCUGAUUCCUAAUGUGCUUAAAUGCUCACAGGUAUUGAAAUGAUUUCUCAAAGCAGAGAUCCCUUAAGCUUGAAAAGAUACAUAUGUUUGUGAGAUUUUCCCCCUCCCUGAUUCAGCUGUUUAGAGAACAUCAGAUUUCUGCUCUAAUUUUUGGUGAAAGCACUUCAGUGAAAUGAUGCAGUACCCAAGCAUGUCUUUGUGAUUCUUUAGUUUCCUGAGAACCCCUUUCACUUUAGGGCACUUGAAAGCUUUUGUCUGAGUGAAGUUCUGCUUUUCUUUCAGUUAAGGUUUACACAAAAGGUGUAAUGCAUGAGAGAUUUAUUUCUUAGGAAGAAAAUACAUACUAUUCUGGACUACAAAUUGUGUCUUUAAGGGGCAUGUUAUGUUCAAUCAAUGUUAUUAACUCUUGCUUUUCAUGCAAGGAGUAUAAAUUUUCUUUAAACAGGAAGAAAAGCUACUCAAUGAAUAGCAUUGGACAGGAAAAUGAUGUAGUAUACAACUUGUAAUUCACUAUAAAUUUUGAGACAUUAUUUUGAUAAGAUUGUUUGAAACAGAUUUUUUUUUUCAACCUGAUACAUUUUAGUACCUUAAUUUCUUAGCUUUUAAAGUGCUAUAGUAAUUGUGCCAAUAGCAACUUUGAGACAAUUGUAUAAUUAUAAAUGAAAAGUUCUAGAAGGUUAUACAUUUUUCUCAUUUUCUAACUGUACAAUGUUUUCAUCAGAAUCCUAUUGAAAUGCCAUAGAUGGAAAGGUAAUGCCUUCCUCCACUCUCAUGAUUACAUCCUUACCUGAGAAGGCUAAUUUUGUUUGUCAGUUUUCAGAGUAGAAGUAUGUAAAGAUUCUAGUACUUGUAUUUAUCUAGUCUGUGCUGUAGGUUGUAUUUACUUGCAUUAUCACUCUGUAACAACUAAAGAUAAUACAGUGAGUGUUUUGUGGAAAUGUUGCACUAUUUCCUUUUUAUGGCUUUUAUUUAGCCUCGAGUGAAUGCAGUUACAUAUAGAGAAAUGUGUAUCCCCCAUACUGAGUUUUUUUCAGGGUUUUUAAUCAGACAAUGGUAUCAGCAGUUCAUACUACUGAGCCUUAUCUCCAGUGUUGUCAGCACAGUGACCUGCAAUAACAUGAUCCUUGUGGAAGUAGAGGACUUUACAUAGCUAAAAGAAACAUGGCUUUAGAAGAGGUAAUUUAAGAUAAAAAGAUGGACUGAAUGGGUGCUUCUGAAUUGUUGCCUACUGUAGUGAGGCUGACCUAAGUGUUCUCUGUAUUAAGUUCCUUCCUGUCUUGUUGGAGGACUUGAUGUUGCAUUUCUUGAAGUUAAGCCUGUGGUUUGACGCCGUAGGGACUUGAAGAUGAAAGCUGUGAGAGAGAGGUCUUACACUUCCCAGAGUACUGUCACAGCGUGCAGAUGUGGUGGUGCUCAGUGGACUGGCCCAGGUUUUUAAAAACUGUCUUAACAAAAAAGCUACCAUCUUCUGAGGCUGUAUUUUUUACUCAGUUAAUAGUGUAGCUCCACAAACAGCCUUGUGUGUACAAUUGGAGAGGUGGUAUGAACCCCUAAGCUGCUUGAAGCCUCUGUACUGUCAAGCCAGAAUCUUCCCGAACAGUACAUAUAUACCUAUAGGGACCUGAUGGAUGAUGUGAAGGAGGAUUUCUUUUGUUACUAAUGCUGUAAAAAUCCUAAUGUCAUUAAAUCAUAGCCAAGAUACAAGACUUUUUGUCUUGUGUCUGUCCUUGUUGGCAGGACCAAAUGUGAACAUGCCGUGGCUGUUCUGAAUAGGCAGGAAUAAUUUAGAUAAAAUUUCUGCGUGUAGGUAUAACAGUUGGCCAAAAUAGAAAGGGUCAUUCAUAUUUUUCCUCUUCUUAUAAGAAAAGAGAAUGAUUAUAAAAAAUAAAUCUAUGACUGAAUAUAUGAAAUUUAAAUGUUAUUUUACUAAGGUCAGGACAGAUGAACCCAAAGCUCCUAAAAUGAAAAUCACAACCUUUGUUCUGGCUCUGUUUGUUUGUUUACCUCGAUUCUUCAACCGUAUUUUUCUGUAAGUACCAAUAGUAGUUUGUGCAGAAAGCUACACCACGGAAAUACUGAAUUUUCAGUUAAAGUGCUGGCAAAGGCACAUCAGGUUUGCUCAUGCAUUUAUGAACGUUCAGUUUGUGCACUAUGUAAAAAGGAUAUUGAACCGCAAGUUAGAUUUUUUUUUUCUUUAUUAUUUGGAUGUACAGAGCCACGAAGCGGUUUGCGGGCUUGGUGUGGGGCUCGGUGAGGAGCUGAGGCGAUUUUGGCCGCUGGGCGGGCGAGGGGCCGGUGAGGUUGCGCGCUGCCGGCCUGAGGGGAGCCGCCGCCAGGGGGCGCUGCGAGCCCGCCUCGUGUCGGGGCCGCGGCCGGAGGGGCUGCGGCGGGGCGGCCGCCCCUGCCCGUCCCUGCCCUUCUCCUCCAUUCCCCUCCUUUCUCUCCCUUUCCUUUCCCCUCCUUUCUCUUCUUUCCCUUCCCCUCCUUUCCCUUUCCCGUGCGGAGGUGCCCGCUGAGGAGAGCGGGGGGCCCCGGGGGGCUUCCCUGCUGCUGGGGCUGCGUCCCCUGGGACGGGGCCGUUCUGGGGCUUGCUCCCCGAAACGCUGUGUUUGUCGCCCUUCUGGGGCUGAAAAUUGAUUUUUAAUGCUUCAGCAGCACAUAAAUCCUUCUGUUCAACAUCUAGCGUUGUAUCAAAACACAGAAAUCAUUUCACUCUUUAAAGCCACAGAUGUUAAAAUUAUAUUUUCAGUCCGCUCCCAUUAAGACUUCCCUGCGAAAGGAGGCAGUGCAAUUUUGCCUGUAAGCACAGACGCACCGUGCUAUCCUUUAUCUGAUCUUACACAAACUGCGUGACACUUUUCCUUGAGUGAGUUUAAACACGCAAACCUUACGGCUGCCGACGUCCUGACAGCUUCAGUCGGUUUGAUUUCUGCAAGCCACAUACGCGGUGGAUAUUAUUACCGCCCCUAAAAAAAAAAACCUCUAGCUGCUUGUAGUUACGCUGAAAUUUACUGAAAAUUAAGCUUUCGAAUGCUCAUUUGGUAGUCUGAAAAAGGAGGUUAGAGAAGCAUCUCUUUUAAGCGAGUAAUUUGUUAGGAGCUUGCUGCAGGCAGCUGUCUUUUAGCAGCACUAAAAUGAGCUGGAAGAUUUGUAUCCACCUAAAUUUUGCGUUCAAGUAUUUCUCGAGGUGCAAGUUUUGAACUUAAAGUCAAAAGAUUUUUCUUCGUGCUUUGUGUGCUCUUAACUGUGUUCUUUAUUUAUAAUCACGAUAUACAAUUGUUUGGUUUGCUAGAUGAAUAUUUCAUAUAGCUUCAACACUUGCAGAAAUGCAGCAAUUUUGAUGUAGUCAGCAAUAUGAAAGCCCAAUUUCUCUUUCUUAUUCUCUUCAAUUUAGGUAAAAUACUGCAAAUGACAGAUUCUGAAUUUGAUUUUUCUUGCUAAUGCAAUAGGCUCAACUCUAACUAAAGAAAUCAAAUUGUACAGAAGAGGAUAAGCAAAUAAAAAUAUUAAAAAUCUACAUAUAUUUUUUUUUAAUUUCAGGUAUUAGUUUAGUUUAUGAAUUUCAUGUUAGUCAUUUGAAAAUAUUCAGCCUUAUGCUCCAUGUUUGUUAGGGGAGAAAAAAUGUACAGGUUAUUUUCCCUGACUACUCAGAAGGUAUUUUCAACUCAUUUUUGAUGAGUAUAGAGUCUGAAGGUUAUUUUGAUUUCUACAAAUUCAUUUAAUGUAUUAUUUGUUCAGUUUUGGGUAUAUGCAAACUUAAUGUGAAAGCAUCAUAUAUUCUUCCACGCUUCAGAUCACCCAGAUACAAAUGACCUCAUGUUUAUAUUUUAUCAUUAAUUUGUUGAAAUAUUGUGGUAAAGAAUAUCUACUGUGUUAGUUUCUACUGCAAGCAGAGUCCCGGCUAAUUCUUGUAGCUGCUUUACUACAGAUCCAUUUAUGAAACAAUAUUACUCCGAACAUAUGGCAAGGGUGAAACUUGCUUUUUUUUUCUUAGCAAACAUUUUAAUUUCGCUGUACCAUGAAAAAAGUCUGGAUAUAGCCAUUUGUUUUUUAGGAGAUUUUUUUUCAGGCAGUUGCUAGAACAUACAGAAAUCCUGGUAGACAGGCUUGUAGUCAUCUAUCAAACAGAGGUAGGCGCCUUCCUGGGUGCCGAAAAGUUAAGAAAGCAGCAGUUUUAGGCUACCUGUGUGUUUGGUGGAAACAGAAACAGAACUUCAUCCAGAAGAAAACCCAGACCCUGUGAAGACAGCGGUGUCCAUUGUGGUAAAACUUUCUGCUUCAUCUUUGAUUAUGAAUCUUUGGUCUUAGACAAGGUGCUUCAGGAGUGGAAAUUUCCAUUCAUUUAGACUGCCUGGAUUGCUCUAUCUCUACUUUGUGCAUGGUCUCCAGCAGGUCCUUUCUUAAGAGACUGAAUUUUCAUGGUCCCUGUGUUGCCAUGUGCCUUUGGCUAGUUAUUUUGACUCUCAGCUCAUUUGUUCUUUUGGUAACACUUCUCCCAGUGCGUCUGGACCAAAAGGAAGAGAAUGAUCUUUUAACACCUUCUUGCCUCUUUCCAUUCCCCCCUCCCCUUUCCUUUUCUGCUAAUGCAAGUAUUUAGCCAUUUCCUUCCCCAAAGAAUGCUGUAAUAAACUUGAGGGAGCUGAAGAAAAGCACAGCAAACGGCACAAACCCCAUGUGCCAAGAUCUUAUUCCAAGAGUCAAAAUAAAGGAAACGCAGGUAGUUCUUUUGAGCAACCAUUCGAAGCAAGAAAUCUCGGGUAAAAAAAAUAAAAAUAAAUGAAAAUGGGUUGAAAUAAUUAUUAGCAGUAAAUAUAAAACAAAAGGUCUUUUUUUAGGUAUCUUCCUUAUCAGAUGUAUUCUGUUUUGUGGCCAGACACAAGUGCUGAUGUUCUGAAUUUACUACCUAAAAUAGAUGCUUUUUCCUGAAAACAAGAGCGUUGUUGGGGACAUAAUUUGCAUAAUUCAAAAAAAAAAAUGGAAAAACGCAUUGAACAGUGGAUUUCUUGCAGAAAUUGUAUGUAACUUCUGCAUGAAACUUUUUUUUUGAGCUGACAGUUGCGUCUUGCAACAGCUUAAACUGGCAGCGGUCCCUGCAGGCAGGUAGGAGUGCACUCAGUGAUGCUUCCCUCUCCUGCUCUCAGGCUGGUGUGUGGUGGUGGGUGGCUGUGCUUUGAACCCCACGGGUGCUGAGAGGUUGCUGAGCGGUGAGGCUGGGAACAGCACUCGGGGCGAACAGAAACAACGUGAAUCCCUCCAGUUUGGGGGCUGUCAGAAUGGUAGCUUUUUAUAUGAACUUCAUUAUUCUAUAACUUUUUUUUCCCUGAGGAAUACACUUUUUAUCUUGCAUUGCAACAGAGUCAUCGUAAUCUUUUUUUAAAGAUCAGCAAGGAUGUUUUAGUGAGCAGGAAAUGGCAUCAGUUCUUGUUUCUCGCUUAAUAAUGUUUUAUGGAUUUUCCACGACUGCAUAAUCUAGAAAAAUUAAAUAGUGUUAUUCUUUUCUGGAAAAAAAUCAUAAGUUGUCAACGUAUAAACUCCAUUAAAUCCACAUUAUGCCAUUUCUGUGUAUAGUGUUUGUAUUUCUUAAUAGACUAAGAUGUGUUACUGGCCCAAGGUUCAGUACCAAAUCUUGAAUUGAAUCCUUGAGCAAUAGACUUGGUUGAAAUCUGUCUUCCUAAUGGGAAACCUGCUGACGUGCUGGACUUGAAGGGAUAAGAAAUCAAUUCAAAGAUUACUGAACUUAAAUGAUUUUCUGGAGAAAUAUCAGCCUUUGAUAGAAAGGAGAAAAAUCCUCAGAGCAUAGAUCUAUAUUUUAUCAUUAUUUGUGAUUAAUAAAUUCUAUUAAACCCAGUGGUGCAAUCAAAAAUAUGUGGAGGAAACGGGAAGAGCUCAAACUUAGCAAAUCUUACUUAGUGCUGUAGUCUGAGUCAAUGUGCAGAAUCUUUAUAAUGACAAAAUUAGGGAAGUAAAAAUUUAUUUUAAAACUGUACUAAGAAUGACCUGGGGGUGCAUAGCUGCAGAUAUAAUAGUUAAUGGUAAAUGUAUAUAACUUCUCAUCAGCUGUGCGUACAAAAUUACCCUUAUUGGAGAUAAGGUUGUUCCUGCCCAUCAAACCUAAAGACAUUUGCUUUGUUUUGGUUUGUGGUGUGUUGGUUGAGAAGUUUCUAUAGUACACAGCUUGUCUUUUGUUUCGCUGUUUGCUGAAUACACAGUUUGAUUUCUUUUAUUGGAUUACAUGCCUGAGUUCAGCAUAAAUUCAUGCAGUAGAAAAAUCCACAUUAAAAUAGAUUGUUUACUCUUCAGUAAAAUGCUCGUGCAUUUUUGUAGGUCUAGUAUGAUAUCCUCAGUGCAGAUAUUUAUAGCUGACAUGCAGCAUUGUGGAGCUUUAUUCAAUAAUAGAAAUGGAAACAUUUCUUAAAACUUUUUUUUAGGGGAAAAAAAGGCAUGUUCUUUGUGCGAUAUAUUUAGGUCAUAAGGGACAUCUGCUAAGGAUAAUUUUUUUAACACUUGCUAACAAUCCUAAUAUAAUAUGGCCUAUUCAUCAGUCAUAUUGUUCCUGACUUGGCUGGUGUGGAUUUUAGUGAUUCCCGAUGUGCAUUCAGACUCUCUUAAUUGCUAGUUUCUCGCUGUUCUAUCUUAUUGUUUUGGAGGACAAUGCAUAAACGGGCGCAGAAUAAUCAAAAUGGUUUCCCUGGCCAUAUUAGGCACCUAACAGAGAGAUACUUACUGUGUGUGUGUGUUUGCAAGUGGAAGUCUUACUGAAACAAAGUAAAUCUUAAUGUGGAAAUGAAGAUUUGAAUUCUCUCUUCAUUCAGUGUGUGUGUUUAUAAGCAAAUAACUCUGGAUACAUCUUGGAGCUUUUACAGCUUGCAUUUAUGCAGGAGAGAAAUUAGAGGGGUAAGGUAGGGAGACAGAACAGACACUGAACUUCGGGAAUUUAGGGUUCUUGAUAACCUGUUAUAUUGUGCCAGUUUGGUGCCUUUGAUUUAGAAGGGAAAGCUUGUUUGGAGAUCUUUGUGCUGUAACUGAGAUCUAAUCUUACAUUUGCAUGAAGCCAGAAUUGCAUUCGGCUGCAAGGCAUUUGACUCCUCAAGAGGUGCGGGUAAUAUUCCUCCAGCUUGCACGCACAAGACGAAUAGCGAGAUGGGCAACGCGAGGCUGAGUUGUUGGGGGGGGAGAGGUUAUGGCAGGCUUCUGUGUUUUAGGUUUUAACAUCAGUGAAAGAGGAAAAAAGGACCAGCUGAAAGACUGGCAAAAUUCCUGAGAGGUCCUUGCAAUUUGACUUCCCCAUGUAAAUGGAAAUACAUCUUCCCACCAUUUUUUUCUUUUGCGUGUGCAAAAAUCUUGGUUUUUAGUGGUUCAUAUUGCUCUGUACUGUGGACUCACUUACUGAUAAAUUAAUACCUGAUGCUUUAGGGUAAUCUUUCUAAUUAUUGAGUGUUUUAUCUUAAUCCAGUUUCUGUAACUCUCAACUGUUUUUGAUAGUGAAGGAACAAAAGCAGAAAUCAGGGCUUUUAUAGUAAGCUGGGGGAAGCUUUCUUUAUAGCUUGCUUCAGGUGUUGAAUCUCUUUUUAAGUCUUAUCCCUCUGAUUUUGGGAGGAAACAAAAGGACUUCAUUUGCUAGAUUUGUCACACAUCUUUAAUCAGGUGGCUUAGCCAAGCACAACAGGUCAUCUUUUAAAAUCCCACAUAGCUGCAAAACAUGAAAGUACUUUUUUUAAUAGUUCCUUAGGUGAUUUUUAGUUCUGCUUUAACAAGACAUGUUUAAUAAAAUGGGUUUGGGCUAUUAAAGUAGUAACAGUGAUUGGAAAUAAAUCAGCUUGUGACUGUUCAGCCACUUGCUGAGUAUACUUGAAAGACCAUGGUGUAGGCAAAUGUUGAUUUUAUUCCGAGUCGAAAUCCGUAGCUACGUAGCUUAAUUAAAUAAUUUUACUAGACUUGAUAGUUAUUCUCUGUAUGAAAUAGUUUAAAAUUUGAUUCAUCCAUGCACUGCUGAUUAAAAACAGUUUGGUAAAAGCUUCGUGUAAACUGCUUUAGUUAAAGCGUGCUUUCUGCUUAAGCUGUGCGUUUCACAGAGCUGCUGAUUUUCUGCGGCUGCAGUCGGGGAGAAAGGAGCGAGGGAAGACGGCUUGAAAAGGAAAUUGAAGACGCUGUUGUAAGAAUGCAGUUUGGACACUGGGUGCCACUCCUGGUACACACAGAGGCUGGAAAGCCUUCCUCGUGCAGUGAAACAACGAGUGCUCUUAAAAAUGGAGGUCUCUUAUGCUCAUAAAAUUCUGAAGGUCUCUGUCCUCUGAGCCAAGAGGUUCAUCUGGUUGGAAAAACAUAUUCUUCAGUCCUGCGAGGAGUAACUAAAGCUUACAAGGGCAAGGCUUUUUUUUAUUUCUUCUGUCAUCAUGCUGGGGAUGAUUUUCUGGACUUGAUGUCUUGCUAUCUAGUUACAUAGCUUCCAUCAUGUGCAAGAAAGACAAGAUUACAGCACCAAGUGUUCAGGAAUAGGGGAACUAAACCAAAUACAACAAUUCUCCUCAGAAAUAGGAAGAGGAAUUUGGAAGUAAAGUACGAAUGAAAUGCCUCCCUCAAAUUUUAUCAUCUUUGUGUUAUUUUUUUCAUAGGCUUAUUGCUGUUAAAAGAGUACAGUGUUAAAAACAAUCAUGAGGUGGUAUGCUGCUGGUGGAAAACUGCAUUGAAGGAGACCGUGAAGAAUGGGUUAGGGGUUGAUCAGCUUACAGAAACUAGGGUUGGGCAUAUAAAGAUCCUUUUCAAUAAGCACCAAGUGCUAAAGGUAAGAGGAGUGAGGAGAUGUGUGCAGAUGUAAACUGGAAGAAGGUUACAGCUCCUGUCCUGAAAGCCGUGGAGCUCAAGCUGGGAAGCGCAGCGUGAUUAAUGCCUGACUGUGCUCGUGCCUGGAGGCAUCUGCUGGCUCCGGGUGUCCUGAACGUUGUACAAACACAUACGUGCUCAAACCAUUCAGAAAUGACACGGGAGUGGAGGUGGCCAGGACUCCUGGUGGAAUACUGGCCUGUCGGUAACUGGCUAAUUCGGAAACAGAAAUUUCAGUAGUACUGACAGGUAAAUGGGGGGGUUUAGAAGGCUAAAUGGCACAGCAUUAAAAAAAAAAAAAAAAAGUUAGACUUCUAAACCCAUUUUCCACACAAAAAUUUUACUCGCUGUCUUGUUUGAAAAGGAUUUGAAAUAGUGGGUCAGAAAUUAAAAUGUGCAUGGAAGGGGGGGAGGAAGGCAAGACACUACUUGAAAUAAUGAAUUGCAGGGUGAGGGAUGAGGGAGUUCUUUGUGAAAUUUUACUUUGAUACAAUUAUGCAGAAUUAAAAGCAAAAAGUCCCUCCAUCCUCAAAUGUAGAAAUUCGAGCUUUUGGUUUCGCUUUUCAGAAUGACAUUUGCAAAUGGGCUCGUGUUACUCAGUGCUCCAGUCUGUGCUGUUUGAACCUUCCAAGCCACUUACAGUGAUGUUCCAAGUGAGAAAUUAAUCGAUGCAUUUGGAUGCAUAAAGCACAAAGCUAAAAAUUUCAGAUUGUCCUAUUUCUUUUGUGUGCUUGCUGUCAGAGGUUAUAUUCUUCCUGUUAAAAUCUUAAAAGUUUAAAAUGAAACUUGUAAGUGAAGUCUCAAAGUUGCCAUUAUUUUUUGGGGACUUCCCAGGACAAGCACAGUGGCCCGUCAAAGCUAUGGCAAGCGUGAGUCAUUUGGUACAUCUUUUGCAAUUAGCUUAGCUUUAUGUAGAUAGUGAAUAAUACAAAGCCACAUUGGCUUCUGUAAUUUUGCCAACUGUGGCAAAAAGUAUGACUUUAAAAUAAGUUUGUUUCUGAGACCUCCUUAUCAAAAUAUACCAGAUACAUAAGCAGAGCCAGAAAUGAAGGAAUUGGCAGCAAACCUUCUGUUGACACCUGGAAGUUUAAUAAAUGGACCAAUUGAAAUUAGGAAUACGGUGGGCGAUAAGCUGGAGCCACCUGGGUUUUAUGGGCUACUUGAUGCUUUGAUUGCAACUUUGUUUGGAGUUAUCCAUUUAUAUUGUCAGUGUUCCUUGUCGCUGCUGUGUUUUCUAUUUUAAUCUCACACAAUAGGAAGGAUUAGAAAAAGCAAGGCACUACUCAGACCAGAAAUGGGUGUGGAAAGAUGCUCUUUCAGCGUGCCCACCUCAGAACAAAGCCAUUUGUAGGACAAAACAUGGGAUUGGAAGGAGGAGCAGCAGAUAGCUUUCAGCUGGGCGUCCCCUGCAUCAGGCCAUGAAGAGCAUCCUAAUACGCUCUGAGAGCUCAAGGGGGCUGUGAGCAGGCAGGAUUUCCGUGCUGCCAUUUGGGUGGAGGGCUUAGUGGGGCCGGCCGUAGCGGUGUGCUUGUGUUGGCACUCUGUGCCCGGUCCCUUAGGGGCUGGGGUGAACAAGAGUAGCUGCAGAGCUUUGUCUCAAGUGGUUGUGCAGCUCAUCAACACACUGAGGGUCCUGGUCCAGCUUCAGGUUCUAUUUCUGCACUCUGUGUGAUGUUGGCAUGCUCCUUGUUGCUUUUUCUUUGUUUUCCCUUCACUUAUUUAGCUAAGUCUAACAUGAAGGAAAGGAUGCUUAAGUCCAUUUGGUAACAAAUUCAUAAAAACGAUCCAUUUUCCCAACUUGAAUAUGGGAAAUACCUGUCUUUAUCCUUUCCCUUAAUGUUUUUUGAUGCAGUUUUAGGGAGAUGAAAUAAAACCUUCACUAUACCCUAAACACCUAGGUGGCUGUAACUUUCUGAGGCUUUGCUGACUGGCAGAGCUCUGAGAACCACCUUGUUUGAUAGCAUCUGUACAUUUGGGAAUGGAUACCUAAGAAUAUUAUUCAGACUCAAACUCAGCAAGAAAAGUAGCAUUGUUGAUCAGGUACUCAGCACUGUUACUAAAAAAAAAAAAGCUAAGAGGAUGAUAGCUGAUGUUUCAUGCUAAGGAUAAUGAUAAUUCUCAACUGGAAUUUGGUUUGGUUCUCUUGGGUCUUUGGGAUCUUUGCAGCAGACAGCGAAAGGAUGCUUGGUUGGCUCCAGUAAGGAAAAGGUUUCUACAAAAGGAAAAAAAAAAAGCUGCUGCAUGUCCAAGAUAGCAACAACAAAAAGCAGUGGGUUUAAUUUUUGUUAAGGGAGGGGUAGAGGAGUUGCAAGGAGGAGCGCUGUAAGGACGGUGCAACAUGACAGUGCGCUGAAGGAGGUGGGUAGGGCAGAGUUAGCCAAACCCUCACCAGAAACAAGAGUUAGCUGUACCAAAAUGGGAUGAAACGGGUAUCAAACGACUUGCAGCUCUGUCCCUAUGAUCUUGCUAUUCUAUUCUAUUUAUCCUGAGUUUGAAAGAUCUUAAAUUACUUUUAAACUUUUCAAAUCUAUGCCUUUUAACAUCUGUAAUGUGAUCAACUUGUGUGGUAAUCUUUUCCAUACCCUCCCACCCCCGUGUGCUCCUCUGCCUUUGUACAGCAAGUGAUGGGAAUGUAGCUCGAUUUCACUGAAAAUAUUUGGUGUCCUGAAAUGGAAAACUCUGCGUAGUGUGAAAGUUUCUCAAGCUAUAUUUCAAGUAUCUCUGAAUAAUACAAAGAAAUAAUGCUUCACUUUUUAUUUGGCGUUUCACUCAGUUGUAUAUGUUGCAGGGUUUUCCCUUUUGACACAGAGGAAUGCAGUUGAUGUGAACAUGGUAAAUAGAGUAUAAUGUCCUAAUGACUUUGCGAUACAGUACAUGAGAAAAUAAUGGGUCAUUUGGGGAGGAUUAUUUUAGCAUGUGUGGGGGAAAUAUGGUAAAAUCACCCCCCUUACUAAAAAAAAAAAAAAGAUCAUGUAUUGUUUUUCUGUUGCCUGUUUACACAGAAGUUAAAGCUGUAUGUAGUUUUCCUUUAUCGUGUUUAGUAACUUGAAUGUAAAACUCAAGUUCAUUAAAUACAUGCAACUGUUUCACUAAUCCAUGUUUUUUCUUUCAGAGCAAGUUUAGUUUUGAGGCUAAUUUUUAAAUGAGUUUGAAUGUCAUUUCUUGCAUUCAAAGCAGUGCUGCAGUCCCAGCAUUUUCAGCUUAUACACAUGCAGUGUGUACAUGCAGCCAGCUUGUUUAUUUCCUGUCUCCUUCCUUCAGAAAUUCACGUGGUUAUUAUAGUCUGAUUUGCUUGCAAGGCUUAAGCAAAUCUCUUUCCACACGUGUCCACGGAAGGUGCUGGGCUGGCUCUGGUGGCCCUAGAUCCUCUCGCCUGUGCUUAGUGCGUGCUGUGGGUGGCAGAUCCCAGGUAAACCUGGGGAGGUCCGUGACCGACUGCGGGACCCGCACUGACUCGUGCAAUGCCUCUGCUUCUCUGAGUGCUUAAACAUGACACAAUGCUUAACGCUAUGUACAUAAAUAAAUUGAGCAAAUAAAAAUCAUCCUCUGUUUGCUUUCAUCUUCGUGUCAAAGCCAAGUAUGAAUACACACGCCCGUCCCCUUUUACUGUCUUAUGUCAGCUACACAAGAGGCACAGACUUGUGCUGUAUUCGAAGCCUUUCUGCCAUGUGUGUGUUUAGCUAUGGAAACCAGUUGUUUAACAGAUUUGUUUCUUGUAAGCCUGGGUAGGUUAUUUACUGGAUAUUAGUUACUUUUACGAGCACACUUUUGUGUAAGCCGUUAGUAGGAAACAUGCUGCCAAAUUUUGGUCUUUUGACUCAGGUAGACUUUUUCUUGUAGGCUAUUUCUUGAUUUGCUUUCCUAGUAAAGUCUUGCAGAUCUUUGGCUCAGAUAAAAGCCCUUCCCCACUUCUUGAAAAUGACAGGAAACUGUUAAGGGAAUGAAGUAUCUUGCACUCUCGUGAAAGGUAACGAUCAUACCACAAUAAAACACGAUCAUCUUUCCUGGUAUUGUCAAGAAGCACUAAAAUGUUUAAAGAAUUGUAGGCACAGCUAAAUAACUGAAGCUUUCAUUAAAUUUACUUACUAAUGUUAAUUGUAUUUUGUCUGUAAAUCAAUUCAAAGCCUUCCAAAUUAACAAACGAUCACUUAUGUUAGGUAGGAAUAGAGUUAAUGUAUUGUGACACGAGCAACAUAACAGAUCAGGUGUUUUUAAAUACUUCAGCAGUCCUUUAAUUAAAAAUGUAUUAAAUACUCAGAAAUGCAGUCAGUAUUUUUCUUGCAGAAUACUUUUCUUCUGCAGUAAGGGCUUCUGUAAAUGUAUAUGCGUGUUCCUUUUUGUUUCUGCAUGGCAGAAAGGUGUAUAGCGCACUGAACAUCUAUAAAACGCUGUUGCUGUUGGCUCCAUGGAAAGGGAAAAACAUUCAAAAGAGAUUUGGAAGAAGAGAAUGGAAAUGGACUUCUGCUUCAGGCUUGGGGAAUGGCAAAGCGUUUCUGAGCUGUUGGAAGAGAAAAAAAAAAAAAGAAGGCUUUGUUUAUACAACUAAAUCAGAAGUCAGAGCUCUAGUGCAUGCAGAACUGAAGUGUAUUUAGCUGGUGUCGUGGAACUUUGAUCAUCACCAUGGUUUGUUUUGCACUUCCUUGGUAGUGCCCCAUCGGGCUGUCUUUGAGUCGGCUUCCUUGUCAUCGUGUCACCCACACGCGCAGGCUCUGAAACUGUGGCUCUUCCAUCCUAUCUGGAACCUUACAAAAUGCUGCAUUUUCUUUAACUUCCUGAAGUGAGUUGCUUUUUCUUCUGUCUUUUCUGUAGAACACCACUUUGUGCUAAAUUCAUUUUCACUGGCACCUCCUUCCCAAAGUCUCUCCCAUCUCCCAUCCGAAUGAUGGCACGAGGGUAAUAGCUGAUUAACGGCUAUCUUCUGCUCUCUCCUUGAUCUUUCUCUUUCCUUCCCCCUGCUUCUCCUUUAACGCAGAGCAGAUUUGCCCUCGCUUGCACUGCUGCUCUUUUUUUCCCUGCACUUCCUCCUUUGAAACCGUUUUCUCUGUCUGAUACCCUGACCUGUUGGCCAGGCUGAUAAAAGCUCCUUUUGCUGCACUGUCCCUUUGGCUGCCUCUGCUGGAUCCAUAUCACUGGUGAAUCUCGACUGCGAAUUUUCCAGUGCUUAUUUCUUGCCUGCUCCUACCUCCAGAUCAUUUCAUUAAUUUAGAAGGAAAUCAUCUUCAAAUAUAUUAUUUAAAAAACAUUACGAUGAAUGAAGUGCAAGUGUUAAAACUGGUUCUAGACCCAAGGUGCAGCCUGAAAGUAUGCAAUUAAAAGCCAAACUUACAAAGAUGGCCAGUGAUCCUUGUGCUCCCCCUACGCUACAGCUUUUAUACGAGCUUGAUGGCAUCUGGCAGCAUCUCCCUUACAUGCAGCUGACAGAAGUUUCAUGGCUCUCCUCGCCUUGCAGCUGAAACCCUGCUGUCUGUGUGCAGCGUGCAGGCUGCGUGUUGGGGCAUUCAACCCGAAGCUGCAGAUCUCCUGAACCGAAUGCCCUCUUUUAUGCAGCGAGGGGUAGGUAGCCGAACCACAAAAGUGCACUGUGUCUAAGAUGUCUGCUGCGGGGCACCUCGCCAGCUGGUGUAGUAGGGAGUUUAAAUGGUUGUAAAGCUGCCAACACGAGGUAUAAGGUGGGAUAAGAGAAUGAUUUGUACCUAGAGUGUGAGAUUAAUACCCUGCACUUGCAUAGCACCUUUCAUUUGAGGAUCUUGGCACACUUUAUGAUCAGUUAAUUGCCUCAUAACCUCUCUGUGAGGUAAACUAUCACUAGUUUACAGUCAAAGAAAACUGAUGCAUAGAAGAAUUUAAGUAACUUCUUUAGGAUGCCUGGGUAGUUGGGGGAGAAACGUGAAGUUUUUCUCUCGCUAAUUCUGGAAUGCCAAACAUCACGGUGUUUAAUUUCCCUAAACAAAAGGCAAUAACUUACCCUCACUUUCUUAUUCCUCCAGCUCUUCGGCUGUGUGGGCUCCUUUUCUAUGCUUUUUCCCCCCUCUGUGCUCCUUUGAACUGUGGUCUUCCAGGUGGCAACUGAAGGGAGCUGCUGGAAGGGGAAACCAAGCGCGCUUUUAGCCGUGAGUUACAAGCACUGCAGCUCACUAAAAAAGUCUUUUUGAAACCCUGAAGAGCGGAGUUUUGCCAUGAAACAACUUCGAAUCUUUUUGCUUUCUUCCCCUUCUCAGCAUACAGGUGGCUCAGAGCCUCCCGGUUUGUUUCCCCUUGUUCUCGCCACUUUGAGAGGUGAUCAAACAGAAAGCAGCGGUGCCUGAGUUACCCUGCUCCUUCGCCAGGCUGCGGGCGAGGGUCUGGCAGCUGACGGUGAGGCAGGGCUUUGUCUCUGCUAGACCUUGCAGGCAUCAAGUCAUGGCAGCGUUAUUCAGCAUAGGAACGCACCUCUCCAUGCUCCAAAGAAAACAAUUUUUGCAGUUAGUUUGUUCCUAAUUGGCCUUUUCCACCUGAGGAAUAAAGCAAUCGGAGCUAUCUUUUUAAUUGUUUUAGCCACGCUUGUAUAAAGUUCCUCGUCUAUACUGGUUAUAAAGACAAGACUGAAGAGAAGCUUCUAUGUGCCAGGAAAUAAUAUAUGGGGUAUUUAAGUUGAAGAGUUGUUGGAAUAUGAAAAUUAAAUUUGUCCUGUAGGGAAACUGUGCUACAGGCUGCAUCCUUUGUAAUACGUAGAGAGCGCUAUCUUUAGAAACGUGACUGAGUACAGUAAUGCUUAAGAUAGACGAGUGCCUAAAAACGUUUGGAGCGGUGACAGUUUUUAUUUUGGUUCGAAGUGCACGUGGAUAAAAGCUGGCCACUCGCCCCGCUCCCCCCGUGGAACGUGAUUUCCUUAUUCCAUGUACCAGUUCUUGUUAGUAGGGAUUUUCUUCUAUUUUUAAGACGCGGAGUGAGAGGUGGUGAAAGGAAGCUGGUAUGAGCCAUGCGCUCAAUAAGCAAAACACAUUUUUGAAAAACACCAUAUUUUUGACCUCGGCAUUGGAGAAGAAAAAUAAAUAAGCAGGACUUUCCCUUAAGAUACUGUGGACUUGACAAGCCUGAUAAUUGGUUUUAAUCAUUCAUUUCAGAUGCUGUUGCCUCACAAGAGAACGUUUCUUUUUUGACUACUUAAUAAGUAGUAAAGCAGCUCAUGUUGCAAGGCAGAAUCAGAAGGUCACGUAUUCAAGAUAGACAAAGGUUUUUUUUUUGUGAUUUAUAUGUAUUUUUUAUCCCAAACCUACUGUUUAAUCGUUCUGCUUUUCUCAUCUGCAUCUUGUUUAAGUAAAGUUAUAUGGUAACUCCUCCUUGAAAUAAGAGCAACUGGAGCUGAACAUAAUUUAACUAGGUUUUUAGAGAUCUUUUCAAAAAGAAAAAAUGAGAUUUACAGAGCUUGUCUCUAUUACUAGAGACAAUUUUAGGAGCUUUUUAGGUGGUACAAAGGUGACUUGUGAUUGGGAAGGUAAUAUGUUGUUUUCAGGGAGCAAACUCAAAAGCUUUAGAGUUCAAAAAUGAUCUGAGUAGUUUUGUGCUAGAUGCAUCUGCUGACAACAUUUUUGGAAAUGAGGCAUUGAUACCUGUGAUGUACUGCAAACGUGUAAUAUUAACCUGCUCACUCUAGCUUAUCCUACCUCCAAGUCAGCUAAUUAGGGUCACAUGAGGUGUGUUACACAUUUUAGAGGUUUGUACGGGUACGUGUUCAAAUUUGCAUGAGUGAUAACUGAGCAGAAUUAAUCCCUUGUCUUGUAAUUAUACCUGCAGACCUUUUGAUCAUAGCUGUUUUCUCCUAGUGCUUAAUCGUGGCAUUUCUGCAUUCAGGAUGUAAUUAAAGAGCAGGCAUUAUUGGGGCACCUGUUGGUGUGAAGUUAUGGUCUUCAUCUGAAGAAUAACACCUUUGUUUGUUUGUUUUCCUCUGUGUAGUACAAAAUAUAUGGCAUUGUGGGACUUUUAUUCAUUUACAUGCUCCUUCUGCUUGGGGUUUCUCUCCCCCAUUUGUGCAUUUUUCACUGCUGCAGUGGUACUGAUGCAUCACCCAUUUUCAGUGCUCAGUUAAUUUGUCACACAGAAGAUAACUGACUCUACUGGCCAUAAAAUUUGUUUUAUUGCCAAUACAUUUAAACACUUCUGAUUAACUUUUAUUGGGGUCAUUUUAUUAAAUUUGAUGCCUGUGAGUAUCAUGCUGAGUUAAAGAUUGCUACUUCAGAUGCCACAAAUUUUAUUAAAUUGUUAUCUGAGAGCAUGGUGGUUCUUUGUUCCUGGCCUGGACAUCGAGUUUAUUCGGAAUCUGGCAAAAGAAUAUGUUGUUUCCUACUUUUAAAUUGGUGUCAUGCUAAGUCGUAGGGCCUCCCAAAUGCUUUACACAAUUAUUUUUAAAAGAUACAGGGAAAAAAUAAAUAUGAAGAGCUCACUUAAAAGCUUGGAGGGCUCAUUUGAAGAACAGCUUUAUUCACUUUGCCCCUUUUACAAAGGGUUUAGAAAAUAAUAAUGCCCAAUAAAACUCAGCUUUUUGUAGGUAGUUUUACAGUUUUUGCAGGGAACAAUCCAUCUGACCUAGUUGAAAUGCACGUUUGCUGUUUCUCUUCGCAGUGGGCUGGAAAUGAAGUUUUCGGUAGUUAAUGAUUCAGCCCUGGAGGAGCGUGUGUGUGUGGGGGGUGGCUUUUUUCAAACCCCGAACCGGUGACUUCUAGUGCAAGUUAAUUAGAUUUUACCCCUAAGAAGAGUAAAAUACUAGUAGGCUCACAGUGGCUCGGUAUCGAUUUGAAGAUUAUACGCUAUUAAUUUAGACUUUAAAAAUACAUCAAUACAUUUUCAUUCUUUAAGAAGCACCUCUGCUAGAAAUAGAUGUUCAUAUUUUUAUCGAUAACAAUUCAUUUUGAUGCCAUGUAAUGGGAGUUAUAUCACGAAGACUUUAUGUAGGAAUUAAUUGGUACCAUAGCAGUCAGUGGGUAUUACGAAGCCCGUCCUGCUGAGGAAUGGAUGUGGUCCAAGCUGUUGGAACAGGCCAGCUAGGAUAUUAAUUUUAAAUAGCAAAUGGGCUAGUAGGCAGUGUUUACCUACAGUUUAUAGAAGGAAAAGAAUGUCUUCAGAAGGCUUUUGGAGAAAAUCUUAAAUGGAUUAGCCCAGGUAGCCAACAGGAAAUAGAAAGACAAAGGAGGGCUGGCAGAACAUACCAAGGAGCAGCACUUGAGGAAAGGCAGGUGAUGGUUUACUACUCUUAUGUUUACUCGGGAAGAGUUGCCCAGGAAAGUAAACAGGCAACGCUUAAGCAGCAGGGACAAUGGAAAGAAACAGAGGGAUUUAAUUGGCAGAGAGAGAUCACAGCAAUGAGAAGAGGAGAAUUUAUACGUGGAGAAAUAAUGUGUUUACUGUGGUGCGAGCUGUAAUUCGGGGUUACUGGGAGGGAAAUGAUUACGGGAAGUGGAAUUUAUCAGGCGAAGUAGUAGGCUUUUGGAGCAUGGUCUUUCUGAGCAUAGUCUCCUUUGUAAAGAUAAAGGCUAAAAAUAGGUAAGUUGAUUUCCUAGAUUGUAAAAAACUGAGGGAUUUAAUUCGGCGCAUAAAAACAGCAUUUGAGAAAUUUGAUGAACUGCAUGGGAAGUGAUUAUUUUACCUCCGCGAGGGACCCUGUGGGCCCUCCAGUUUUUGACGCUGAGGUAAAUGUGUAAUUCUUUAAAAUAACUCCUGCUGCUAACCUAAGUAAAGAGAGAACUUUCAUAUAGAAACCUAAUACACGUGUUCCUUUAGUCAUGCCAGCAGCGCAGCCGUGAUGUUUCGUAGAGGCCUGUCUGCGGCUCCCAGUAACACAAUUGCCGACCAUCUGAGAGCAAUGAACGCGUUUCACCAUAAACCUGUAAUAAUCUGCUCUUCGGGAGAGAAGAGGGUAGUAAUCCUUUGCCUUGUGUCACCUAAUCUGAUUUUUAAUUCUUCAGUUACAUAAACACUACAAAAUCAAAAUGUGGGCAUCUGCUCCGGAACAUUUGGUGACUUCUUUUUUUAAUAACUUAUUUCUAUAUUUGGCGUGCAUCUUCUGUUAAAGAUUUUUUCAGGUUUUCAUAGACUAAUCUCCCUUCACGUUAAACCAUGUCUUUCCUUUCGUGUAUUACUUUUAUAAAAGGGAAGUUAAUAGCUUUGAAAUGCCUCAUUUCUUGAGCAUUAAGUAGUUUUUCACGUGAAGAAGUAUGUUUUCCCCCCUCUGUUCUUUCAGAGGAACAUGCUUUGUAUGAUUUUUUUAAUUAUUAAAAACACUUCAUUAUUGUGUGAUCCAUCAUAGAAGACAGUGUACUUGCACCUUAUGUGUGUUUAUCAUGAAAUACAAAGGGUUUUGUACUCCAUAUAGAUGGUAGUGAAGGUACUUGGGGUAGUGAAGGAAAGAUGUUUGCUUCUACUCAAGAAAACCAGAUUAUUUUCUUGAGCAAGAGAGCUGUUUACACAAAAUAUUGUCACUUCAGGAUACAUACGAAUUUAAUGACUAGAUGAAUCUGUCUGAGGUGCCAUCAGAUGGUGGUAUGUGUUUUUGGCACACCGUACUUACUAGUAGUCUGAUGCUUCGGGCCAGAUUUUUAGUUUAAACAGAUAAUUUAUCUGAAGACUGGGCAUGUAAAUACUGCUGCCCUUCCCCCAACUCACACUUGAUUUUUAAAAAUUGUGUCUGAGAUGUUUAACUAUUGUAAAACCCACUGGAGAAUGAGACCCAAGCACAGGAGAGGGACAGCAUUUGAAUUUUGGUCUGCCUGCUGUUUUUGGUAGGAAUAUCUGGUUUGAUGUGAAAGUUUACAAGUAAGAAGAAACUAAAUUGCUGGAAAUUACGGUACCUGGAUGGCCUUCAGGGAAGUCGAAAAAGAAAGAAAAACAGCUGACCAGCUAAUAGAUUGUAUAAUUUGUUAUUGGAAAAAAAUGAGACUUAAUAGCUGUUAGAAGACAGUAGGCAAUCUUACAAGCAGCUAAAGGAUAAUGGUUUGUAAGUCAAUCCAAAAUAAAUAAAGCUGGUGGUUCUUACUGUGUGACACUGAAGGGGGACAAAGUGAAAUCUUACAUUUUUUAACGUGUUGUUUUUCUAGGUGCAAUUAAUUAAUGACUCCUAAGUUGGUUUAUUUUUUAAUAUAAUUUGUGUAAUUACAACUAAUGGGAGGGAAAAAAAAGAUUUUCAGUUAUUUUAUAUAAAAUUUCACAAAAGAUGAGUUAAGUCUGGUAACAGCACUGGUCCUUGCAGUGGGCAGAUUGAAGUAGUUUUUUGGGGGGGCAAGGAGGGGGGGGGAGAGGAGUGGGCUUUGGGUGCUUCUCUUUAGAAUAAGAACAAGACCUAUGCAGUUUUGCAAACUUUACCAGCCUCAGAUAAUUGAGGGAUAGGACACUGACAAAUUGAUUUGACCCUCAUCUCGUCACACUAAACAUUUAUGCUGUGAACUGAAGGAUUCCUACAUAACAUAGGCUGCUUUGUGAGCUUUUUAAAUUUACAUUAAAAUGAUGUGUAGGUGUUUCUGGUACCUUUACUUUUUGGGUAUGUGGUGACUAUGGCUGCCAUGAAAGUGUUGAGGAAUUGCAGCCAAAGGGAGAAGUUUGCAAAACAGUAGUAAGGAUAGGGUAGUAGCUUGUGAGUGUUCUUCAGCAAUAUAUUAGAGGCCAAAUUUCAUCUGUGGAGACAGAUCUUCCUAGGCUUGCUCCUCACGUAUGAGAGGGAGAAGCUGAGUAGUUCAUGGGGUGGCAGGGAAGGUCUCAGCUCCAACGUGGUCCCACACUGAGAAUGUGAGCAUCUGAUCUGACCCUAAUAAAGGCAUAGCGCUGAAUGCAAUUGAGCAACAAAUAAUAAAAAUAAAUAUUUAAUGCAGUGCAUAACUAACCAGUUCAAUGUUCGCAGCAUUGCUGGAGGAACGAUUGUUUUUCAUUUCAAACUUGUAAGGCAGCACGACGUUGCACCUUCACAGAAAUGUGCAAGCAACGAGAAGGUGAGGUGAGAUAUCCCUGUAUUUCGCUAGACACAGGAAUUAUUUCUCAAAGUAUAACAAACUUUCAGUGUAACACUUCUGUUAAAAUAAGGUACUAGCUUUUAAGCAAGUUCUUCCUAUGUUUUAGCUGACACAGUUUGAUCAUUUUGCAAAAGACCCAGUGAGAUCCUCCUUUAAGCACAGUUUAAACUGCAACUGCACUUACUGUUCUGGUGAAACGUAGGGGACUGUAUCUGAUUAGGCUUUUCAUUACACACCGAAACGUGCUUUAUGGAUCAAUAAAGGCAGAUGUAUUCCAAGGCGAGGGGUUUUCAUGCAAAGUAGAGCUUGCUUGGAUUGCAAAGAAAAGCAGUAGGGCAGGUCAGAUUGAGGAGGAAGGCCAACUGGGAAGAAAAAGAAAAUAUACUUGCCAUUUUUUUUUUUACCAGCUAUGCUAUUUUGAGGGACGAUUGAGAGGCUUUGAGAAAAGGAGAAAAAGUAAUUUAGCCUGUUGGUAUAAGGCCUGAGCUGGUGAAGUAGUGUUUGUUCAGUAGGAAGAUGCUUUAAGAUGUCACAUCUCUAGGAAGGCACAGAGCGCUGACUGGUGCUCUGGGAAAUCUCAUGCUGUUACGAUCAUAUCUGAAGCCAUCAAACUCAGUUUGGGUACUUGAUCCUGCAUUUGCUGCAGAAUUAUAUAUAUAUGCUUCAAUCCUUUUAAUUGUUUUGCUAUUUUACCAGUCUCCCAAGGAUAGAAAUCUGUAAUAGGAAAAAUGAGAAAUGCAAUUCAGCGGCAGUUUAAGCAGUCAUCUUCGUGAUUCAUCUUGUCUGCAUAGGCUUCUGCAGGAGGGGAGGAUGUUUUCUUUGAUUCCUGUCCUGACUUAUUUCAUGCAGUUCUUGAUUGGUCAUAGGGUGAAAUACAAUGUGCACCAUUAUUUUCUCUGCCCAAUUUGAUCCUACUUGACCUGCUGACAGCACCACAAAACUGUAUGAGGGUGAGUGGUUGGAUGCACUGAGGGAUCAGGAGAAGAGGCAGAAUGGCUUAAAGCAAGGUGAACUUCCACAGGACGUGCAAUCUCAUCUCCCAGCCCAGGGUGGGAACCCUGCCGUUCCUCUGCGCACUUGGCUGCCUGCUCCUGCCUCCUCCCUUGCGUAGGAUCGGGCGAUUGCGUGACCGCAGACUGACUCAGAUGGGUUUGUUGAUCCGCCGGAGAAGGAAUCCAACAAGUUGAUGCAGCUCAUGUAGCUGGAGGAAGAGGCGGAAUGAGUAGGGACCACCCAUUUUAGCAGUAAUUGGUGGUAAAUAGGAUUGAGCGUAACAUGCAACAAUAUCAGUUUUGUUCCUGGCUUAUUUAUUUGUUGUCUGUUAACACAGUGCGGAGUUUAUCAUAAAGGGAUUGAGAGAUCUAAAUGCUACUGGGGUGACUUGUUUUUCUUUUAGCUAAAUAUCUAGAUAAUGCAUUAACUACUGUUGUUCAGAAAUAAGUUUGAGCAAAAUAUCAUAUCACAGGCAGAGACACAUCUGUCAGACCAUGCAGAAAACCUGAGCAGUUAUGUUUGUCAUUAAGGAGAGAACUAAAUUUGAACUCGCUGACAGGUUUGCCAAGUAUGGAUCUUAUAUGAUACUUACCAUGAGAUUCCUCCAAACUGCUCUACAUGGACAAGGCGCUGUAAGCAGAUAAUGAUUUAUAGACCCUAGCGUACCAAUUUCAUACGGGUGCCUUUGUCAGAAUAACAUUUUUCUCAUUUGUACUUUUAACAGCUGAUCGUAGUUACAAAAGGCUUUUGCAUCACUCUUGUCUUCAAAGUGUUUCAAAGAUGCAUUGCAAGGUAGACUAUUUGCAACAGUUAUUUGGAACAGAAGUUGAAUCUUGCUUUUCUUUUUUUUAAAGCCAAAUAAACUCAAGCUGCCCUCCUCCUGCCCCCCGGCUUGCUUUGUCAGAGGUGGUCCCUUUCUUUAUCCGUUCUUCCUCUGGAACCUUUCAGCACGUUUCUGCAGGGUGUCAAGGAGCAGGACACGAGCCUAAUAUCAACACCUAAUAAUUUGGUAUGCUUGGUAUCACAGCUCUAUUUCUGCAUGAUAGAUUCUUGGUAUCGUGCAUGAUUUAUGUCAUGACACUACUGGCUUAUCCACAUAUCUUCCAUGGCCAGUUCUUAAUCUCUGUUUUCCCUAGUUGAUCACGUUACAUUCAUCUGUUCCUUGUUUUUGUCUCCUGUCUUGCAUUAAGUACAUGUAAAAUUUCUCGAUUAGUAUAAUGCAGGCUGUUAUGCAAAGGUAAGUAGGAGAGGAGGGCCUUGUACGGAGAGAGGUCACUGCAGCAAUUUGUGUUAACGUGUGGUCUGUUCAGUGGAAAAGUUUUGGUGUUCCUGUGAUGGCAUUAAACAUUUUAAUCAUGUUCAUUUCUACUGUGAAACUUUUAUCCAGGAAAAAUAAGUUUGGGUCUGGAUAUCGUUUCUUCAUCGUCUAAGUUGGACUAACAAAAUGCCCACUAGAGUAUUUAUUCUUCUGAUUUUUGUCCCAGGCUUGAUGUUAGAAUUGUUUAGUGACCAAGCUCUGUUUCCACUGUCAGUAAUGUUCCUACCAUUUAUAACACUGUGUAAAAUCCAGUCUCUCUUUCAUCAGUACUAAUGGAAGUGAAUGAUAGUAUGAGGUGAUGGAAACAUUUUAUUUCCUAAACACUUCUCAGUUUGCCGUUGAUUUCGGUUACUCCGGAGGACUGAUCUUUCACAGCUGUUGCAAAAUGUAAGUGGGUUUUUUCCCUGCUGUGCAGAUAUCUGCCUUUUUCUAAACUCUCCGUGGCACAAAAGGGUCUUUUUAAAAUGUCACAAAUACAAAGCAAUUUAUGUUGGCAUUAAAUGUAAACAUUUUGCUGUGGUUGUUUAUGGAAGAAAUUGAAAGUUUAGGAGGGAAUGGGUAAAAAAAGAUAAAUAUUGAGCAACCUUCUUAUAGAAACAAGAAUGCGAGUUACACAUAGUUUAUUUCGUAGGAAAUAUCUUACAUUCAGUUUUAUCAGUUACUGUUUGAAAAUCCUUGGGGCUUUGGUUUUGUAUAAUUACAGUAGUGCCUUUUAUUGUGUACUCCUGCUUUUUGAAAGUAACUUUGUCAAAUGCAGUGGCGUACGGAAGAACUAUCUGUUGAAUGCUUGCUUGUGGUCUAAGACUAGUGAAAAGUAGAGAAAAUGACAUUUGCACCUAGAUAAAAUUACAUAUAUAAAUAAAUAAAUAUAAAUAUGCUUAGAUAGCUGCAUAGGAGUAAAAACUGUCUAAAACUGCCUGUGAUAUCAAGUGUUGGGGUAGGUUUUAAGUGAGAACUUUACUUGUAGGAAUUAUUUUCCGCUGAGGGUUAGCUCUGGACAUUAAUGCAUACAUAUGGAAGCACAAUGUUGAUUCAGAUGGAAGAGGAAAUAUCAAUUUAGAUUGAGGAAUGUGUUCCUUAUAAUCCUCCCUGUUCUCAGUUAUUCUUAUAGAGCUUUGCAUAGAGCUUGUAGCUAUGGUGCGGGAAUACUAACUUCAGUAGCAGAUGUGAGCCUGAAGCUUAUUACAUGUUUCACCAGAUGUUUCAUUUAUCUUUAGGGCAACCUUCUGGUUUGUUUUUUAUAUCAAACACUGUGAGAAAUCAAAAUUCAGAAUGUAUUUUAAACAUGUUAUGGGCAUUGGAGAUAAAGGAACCCUUUUAUAACCUAAAGAAGCAUUAUGAUGUCUCAUAUUUAAUAUAUUUUUCUUUUAAACCGUAUUUCAAUAAGAUACUUUAUAAGUUCGUGUAUUGAUCCAAUUUUCUUUACACCAAGCUUGCUUGUAAAGAAAAUGUAGUCUUAAACUGAGUGUGUUUUGUGAAUGCUCAUUGUCUACUUCUGUAUUUCUAUAUUAAUAGCUUGUUCUAAUAUUUUAAAUAUUUGUUAAAAUUUGUUUAGUUAAAAAUCUUCAGGUUGAAGAAAGCUCAGUGUUUUCAGGUAAUAACUUUGAAUUUCAAGAAGAGGCACUACAGAGAAGGGCGAUUCGGUUGGUGGUUAUGGAAGGAAACUUGUCUGUGGGACAUUUAUGUGUCUUUGCACAAUGGCCACUGCCUCAGUGAGGUCAGAAAUUCAGCUUCUGUGUUCCUGCACCUGCUCACGUCCUUAAACCACGUGCCAUCCUUGCCCUGAGUUACGAGGUUGUCCUAGAGCUGCUGUCUGUUUGGUGUCUCUUAAUGAAACACUUGAGCCGCAAGGCAGGAUUAGUAAGAGUAGAACAAAAGCAAAUUUUGGAAAGUCUUACCGGUGAAAGUUGUAGGGGACAGCAAGCCUAUAAGUCAGGCACAUUUAGGAGCUUUGCUCAUCAGGCACUUUCUCUGCCUUCUGUCUUUACUUUCAUCGCUGUUUUAGAUCCCUGUAAAAGAAAUAUCCCACUUAAAAACUUAAUGAAAAAGCACAGUGAAUUAUUAGUCAACUCCAACUAAAAAGUAAGGAGGAACCAAGUAAAUAUUCUAACCUGACUCUGUGAAUAUUAGACAAGUUCUGGAGAAAAAUAAUAAUAAAAUGUUGUCAGUUUGCAAAAUCAAACAGAUCAAGUGUAAUUAUUCUCUAGAAAUGCAGCACUGGAAAACAGCAGAUCUUUUUUGCUCUUGUCCUUGAAAUGAGAAGUACAAGACCGUCAUUUUUAUAACAUUUUGGAUCAAGAGUUUGUGAACUUCUUUGUAACGUGGAGCAGAUCUUAAUGAAGGCUGCUCCGUGCCUGCGAUCCCUUGUUCAUCAGUUCCUCAUUUGUGACCAGUGCAAAUGUCUCUCUCCUAUGGGACUUAAUUACAAAACCUCUCCGUAACCACUGCAAUUGCUCACCUAGAAAAGUACAUUGGGAGAGCAAUUAAUGUAUUUUUAGCUGUCUUUUAAAUAACAGUUGGCAAUAAGAGGCAGCGUGGUGCGAACAGCAGUUCCUCCUAACACAGAAUUUGGAAGUCUGCUGGAAAAGCUCAAUGGCGUGUCUUUGAAUCUGGGGUGGUUCCUCUAUUCCUCCUCACGCUUCCAAAGUAACCCCUAGGGACAUGAGCCGGGAGGACAGCUUUUAAUUGCUGUGUGAACAUGUGGGGCUAAGGAGUGUGAAAGUGAACAGACUUGGCUUGGCUCCUGCUUUAAAGGAUGGUGGUGAAACAGGUAAAUGUUUGGUUUGAAAAUCUCACUGACAGGUUGUCCAUCGAGGAAACGAAACCAUUUACCAUUGCUGAGAGACUCAUGAAGCCUGAAUUUGUGAAGUUGCUGUGGAUUCAGCUCUCGCAUACCUGAGUUUCUGAUGUUUUUCUGUCAGUUGGCCGAAUGUUUCUAACCCGGAGGGCCCUGGUGACAUCUUCAGGGUGAGGGUGAUGGAGCACUGGGACAGGCUGCCCAGGGAGGUUGUGGAGUCUCCUUCUCUGGAGAUAUUCAAGGCCUGUCUGGAUGCCUACCUGGGCAGCCUGCUCUGAGGAACCUGCUUUGGCAGGGGGGUUGGACCUGAUGAUCUUUCAAGGUCCCUUCCAACCCCUACAGUUCUGUGAUUCUGUGAUCUUCACAUGGGGCCUUCUCAUCCACCUGCCAAAGGGGUGGGACAUGGUUUCCCCAACCCCUCUACCCUAUGCGUGAAAGCUCAAGAAGGAUUAUUUGUCAAAAGAGUGAGUGUCUUAGACUCUUAAACCAAACAGUAACUGGAAAACAUGAUUUACCAGGCAGGAAAAAAAAAUCCCUCUUCCUCAUGCCAGCGACCGGUGUGAUGUAGUCGGUGUUUUAUGGCGAAGGGCUCUGUGUGUGUGCGUGCACCGGUGCUCUCUACCAAGCAGAGCCAUGGCUCGCUGUCUUCCUACAGAAAGGAGGACUUUUUUGGCAGUCCCCUUGGGUAUAUUCUUAUGAUAAAAUGUGGAGGAGGUGUUAGAAACACAAAUUGCAGUUUUUGAGUAGGUGUUUGGAGACUGAGAGCGAUAUAAACAUCGCCUUCCUCUGAGGCAGAGAGAACUUCUGAUGAAGUUUGCAUAUUUCCUGCUAGCACCGGGUAUUAUGAUUGUGAUACAUAAAAAUAAACCAAAUUGGGAAUUUUAAAAUAAUUAUUUUCAAUUAAACAGAAGUUGAGCUUAUUUUUACUGAGUUAUCACCUUUCCAGACCCUUCAGUUAGCACUGUUCACCUCAUAAAACUUCUUUAUUCUGAGCUGCGUUCUGAUAUGUGUAUAUAUCUGUGACACGUGUAAAUGUUCAUUUUUUCAGUGAAUUACUUCAGAAAAUAGCUUUCUUUGUAAUAUUUUGCAGAGAAAGGGUAUUCAGCAGUUUAUCUAGAUUUUAGACUGACUAUAAUAUUUUUCAAGGGAAUUUACUGACUUUGCUAUUGAUGGCUGCAACAGUCUUCCUCAAGUUUCUUGAUUUAAAUGCAAUUUUAGCCAUUGGUGCUCAUGGUCACUGUAUUGAGAUGCUUUUUAAUUUGUUAUAGCAUAUUUCUUUCUGCCCUUUUUCCCUGUCUGUUGAACAAAAUGAAUUCUCUAGGCCUCUCUUUUCAAGUUCACUUGACAUUGCAGUUCAGUGUUAUUCAGUCCUUGGCUUUGUUUCCUUUCUGUCCUUUGACAGUUCUGUAUUUUCGUGUUUGCCUGCCAUAUUGAACUGCAGUUGCAAAUCUAAGCACAGUUUGUGAAAAAAAUAUUUUGGGACUGUCUUAGCCAUGUUAAUUUUUUGAAACCAUUUCUGUUGCAUUUUUGACAUUCAUUGAGAGUGAAUAAAAUAAAUAUAGUAUGUGGCUGUUAACCAAAGAUUUUGUACCUAUUGUAACGAGUGUCUUGUUUGCAUUUGAAAAAGUAUUUAGGCUGAAUCCUUUGAGAAUUAUAUAGUGCUCUGCAUAAUUGCUUUUAACGUUUUCAAUAACUAACAAAAAGAUGAAUGCAGAAUGAAAAUAACUGCUUUUGAAACAGAAAAAGUCUCCUUUGAUGAAAUUUCACACUAUGGUUGUUUGUUUCUAAAAGCCUGUAUUUUACUCAAACACAACUUGGAUCACCAUAAUUUUUCUCUAGUGCGUAGCAGAACUUUUGUGAACUUGGUCCCUUUUUAAAACAGCAAACAAUGAUAUUUUGUGACUUGGA